CUAGAGAGAAAAUAUCAACAGCUUUUUUAGGAUGUAGGAGAAUUCCACAAGACUACUGGGAACCAAAUAACAAUGACAAUGACAUUAACUCAUGAGCAUCAUUUUUGUUAAGUGAAAAUAAUGAAUGUUCUUUAUUCAGAUGUCAAUUGUGGGCAUUUCGAUCAUUGUUUCAGAACACUGAAACUGAAAGGCAGCACAAUGUAAUCAACUUGUCAUCUCUGGACGCCAUGAUGGAUCAGGAAAUGCUGCUAUUACUAAGAGAGCCUGAGCAGAAGGCAGUGGAAUUCACAGCCACGCUUCAGAAGCUGCACGAAGAAAUUUCUAAAAUUGCAACCCUCAUUGAAAGCUCUCAACGGUGGGUAACUAAUCCAGAAAUUACUGUGAAAGAAAAGUGGGAGGAGCAGCUUACUGAAUUCAACAAUAUCAUGGAAGAGAAGCUAGAUCUUUGCAUAUUA
rnacentral:sRNA from 1 species